AUUGAACGCUGGCGGCAGGCUUAACACAUGCAAGUCGAGCGGGGGAAGGUAGCUUGCUACCGGACCUAGCGGCGGACGGGUGAGUAAUGCUUAGGAAUCUGCCUAUUAGUGGGGGACAACAUCUCGAAAGGGAUGCUAAUACCGCAUACGUCCUACGGGAGAAAGCAGGGGAUCUUCGGACCUUGCGCUAAUAGAUGAGCCUAAGUCGGAUUAGCUAGUUGGUGGGGUAAAGGCCUACCAAGGCGACGAUCUGUAGCGGGUCUGAGAGGAUGAUCCGCCACACUGGGACUGAGACACGGCCCAGACUCCUACGGGAGGCAGCAGUGGGGAAUAUUGGACAAUGGGGGGAACCCUGAUCCAGCCAUGCCGCGUGUGUGAAGAAAGCCUUAUGGUUGUAAAGCACUUUAAGCGAGGAGGAAGCUACUUUAGUUAAUACCUAGAGAUAGUGGACGUUACUCGCAGAAUAAGCACCGGCUAACUCUGUGCCAGCCGCCGCUGUAA
rnacentral:rRNA from 1 species